rnacentral:rRNA from 1 species
AGUGAACGCUGGCGGUAGGCCUAACACAUGCAAGUCGAACGGCAGCACAGUAAGAGCUUGCUCUUACGGGUGGCGAGUGGCGGACGGGUGAGGAAUACAUCGGAAUCUACUUUUUCGUGGGGGAUAACGUGGGGAAACUUACGCUAAUACCGCAUACGACCUACGGGUGAAAGCAGGGGAUCUUCGGACCUUGCACGAUUGAAUGAGCCGAUGUCGGAUUAGCUAGUUGGCGGGGUAAAGGCCCACCAAGGCGACGAUCCGUAGCUGGUCUGAGAGGAUGAUCAGCCACACUGGAACUGAGACACGGUCCAGACUCCUACGGGAGGCAGCAGUGGGGAAUAUUGGACAAUGGGCGCAAGCCUGAUCCAGCCAUACCGCGUGGGUGAAGAAGGCCUUCGGGUUGUAAAGCCCUUUUGUUGGGAAAGAAAAGCAGCAGGUUAAUACCCCGCUGUUCUGACGGUACCCAAAGAAUAAGCACCGGCUAACUUCGUG